rnacentral:rRNA from 1 species
UACGUAGGUGGCAAGCGUUGUCCGGAUUUACUGGGUGUAAAGGGCGUGUAGGCGGGACGGUAGGUCAGAUGUGAAAUUCCAAGGCUCAACCUUGGACCUGCAUUUGAAACCGCUGUUCUUGAGUGAUGGAGAGGUAAGUGGAAUUCCUAGUGUAGCGGUGAAAUGCGUAGAUAUUAGGAGGAACACCAGUGGCGAAGGCGACUUACUGGACAUUAACUGACGCUGAGGCGCGAAAGCGUGGGGAGCAAACAGG